AGAGUUUGAUCCUGGCUCAGGAUGAACGCUGGCGGCGUGCCUAACACAUGCAAGUCGAGCGAUUCUCUUCGGAGAAGAGCGGCGGACGGGUGAGUAACGCGUGGGUAACCUGCCCUGUACACACGGAUAACAUACCGAAAGGUAUGCUAAUACGAGAUAAUAUGCUUUUAUCGCAUGGUAGAAGUAUCAAAGCUUUUGCGGUACAGGAUGGACCCGCGUCUGAUUAGCUAGUUGGUAAGGUAACGGCUUACCAAGGCGACGAUCAGUAGCCGACCUGAGAGGGUGAUCGGCCACAUUGGAACUGAGACACGGUCCAAACUCCUACGGGAGGCAGCAGUGGGGAAUAUUGCACAAUGGGCGAAAGCCUGAUGCAGCAACGCCGCGUGAGCGAUGAAGGCCUUCGGGUCGUAAAGCUCUGUCCUCAAGGAAGAUAAUGACGGUACUUGAGGAGGAAGCCCCGGCUAACUACGUGCCAGCAGCCGCGGUAAUACGUAGGGGGCUAGCGUUAUCCGGAAUUACUGGGCGUAAAGGGUGCGUAGGUGGUUUCUUAAGUCAGAGGUGAAAGGCUACGGCUCAACCGUAGUAAGCCUUUGAAACUGGGAAACUUGAGUGCAGGAGAGGAGAGUGGAAUUCCUAGUGUAGCGGUGAAAUGCGUAGAUAUUAGGAGGAACACCAGUUGCGAAGGCGGCUCUCUGGACUGUAACUGACACUGAGGCACGAAAGCGUGGGGAGCAAACAGGAUUAGAUACCCUGGUAGUCCACGCCGUAAACGAUGAGUACUAGCUGUCGGAGGUUACCCCCUUCGGUGGCGCAGCUAACGCAUUAAGUACUCCGC
rnacentral:rRNA from 1 species